rnacentral:rRNA from 1 species
CGCGGCCUAUCAGCUUGUUGGUGAGGUAACGGCUCACCAAGGCAUCGACGGGUAGCUGGUCUGAGAGGACGAUCAGCCACACUGGGACUGAGACACGGCCCAGACUCCUACGGGAGGCAGCAGUAGGGAAUCUUGCGCAAUGGGCGAAAGCCUGACGCAGCAACGCCGCGUGGGGGAUGAAUGCCUUCGGGUUGUAAACCCCUUUCAGCAGGGACGAAAAUGACGGUACCUGCAGAAGAAGCUCCGGCCAACUACGUGCCAGCAGCCGCGGUAAUACGUAGGGAGCGAGCGUUGUCCGGAAUUAUUGGGCGUAAAGAGCUCGUAGGCGGUUCGGUAAGUCGGGUGUGAAAACUCAAGGCUCAACCUUGAGACGCCACUCGAUACUGCUGUGACUUGAGUCCGGUAGAGGAGUGUGGAAUUCCUGGUGUAGCGGUGAAAUGCGCAGAUAUCAGGAGGAACACCAGCGGCGAAGGCGGCACUCUGGGCCGGUACUGACGCUGAGGAGCGAAAGCAUGGGGAGCAAACAGGAUUAGAUACCCUGGUAGUCCAUGCCGUAAACGUUGGGCACUAGGUAUGGGAUCAUAUCAACGGAUUCCGUGCCGUAGCUAACGCAUUAAGUGCCCCGCCUGGGGAGUACGG